UUUCCGUAGGUGAACCUGCGGAAGGAUCAUUCAUAAUAAGUGUUUUAUGGCACUUUUUUAAAUCCAUAUUCUCCUUUUGUGCAAUGUCAGGGUUGGUCUCUUUUGUACAGCCCCAAACAUCAACUAUUAUCUCAACUCUUUGUCUGAAAAAUAUUAUGAAUAAAACAAAUCAAAAUACAACUUUCAACAACGGAUCUCUUGGCUCUC
rnacentral:misc_RNA from 1 species